rnacentral:rRNA from 1 species
CAGUCGCCGCGGUAAUACGAAGGGUGCAAGCGUUAAUCGGAAUUACUGGGCGUAAAGCGUGCGUAGGCGGUUUGUUAAGUCUGCUGUGAAAUCCCCGGGCUCAACCUGGGAAUGGCAGUGGAUACUGGCAAGCUAGAGUGUGUCAGAGGAUGGUGGAAUUCCCGGUGUAGCGGUGAAAUGCGUAGAGAUCGGGAGGAACAUCAGUGGCGAAGGCGGCCAUCUGGGACAACACUGACGCUGAGGCACGAAAGCGUGGGGAGCAAACAGGAUUAGAUACCCGAGUAGUACCUGUCUCUUAUAC